rnacentral:rRNA from 1 species
UACAGAGGUCCCAAGCGUUGUUCGGAUUCACUGGGCGUAAAGGGUGCGUAGGUGGUGAGGUAAGUCGGAUGUGAAAUCUCGGAGCUCAACUCCGAAAUGGCAUUGGAAACUACCUUGCUCGAGGGUUGGAGGGGGGACUGGAAUACUUGGUGUAGCAGUGAAAUGCGUAGAUAUCAAGUGGAACACCAGUGGCGAAGGCGAGUCCCUGGACAACUCCUGACACUGAGGCACGAAAGCUAGGGGAGCAAACGGG